CAGCCACAACACGUUGAAAUGCCAGUUCCCGCACGAUCACCAAAGUUAAGCAACGCCGAACCUGGUCAGUAUCUAGAUGGAUGACCAUUUGGGAAUACGAGGUGUUGUAAU